UGUGGCCAAAAGAGAUUAACAUUUGAGUCAGUGUGCUAAGGAAGGCAGAUCCACCCUUAAUCUUGCGGGCACAAUCUAAUCCGCUGCCAGUGAAUAUGAAGCAGGCAGAAAAACGUGAAAAGGAGAGACUGGCCUAGGCUCCCAGCCUACAUCUUUCUCCCGUGCUGGAUCCUUCCUGCCCUCGAACAUCGGACUCGAAGUUCUUCAGUUUUGGGACUUGGACUGGCUCUCCUUGCUCCUCAGCUUGCAGACAGCCUACUAUGGGACCUUGUGAUCAUAUGGUGUCCGGAAUUUCAAAUAAUACUGAGUUAUGGGAAUUGCCACAGAAUGUAAACACCAUGAGAACACAGGCUUUGUCUGCCACAUUUAUUGCUGCAUUUGCAGCAUGUAGAAUGGUGACUGACAUAUAAGAAGUACCAAUUAAACAUUUGUGGAUGAGUCAAUGAAGAAACUGUAAGUAGUUGGAUGUUUUUAUAGCUGAAAAUUAUGAAAGUGGGUAUGUUGUAUGUUAUACGGGCAAUUAAAUAGUGUUAGAAGUCUUUUGAUUGCAAUCAUCAUUCCAGUGAUGGUCGAAUAACAUGGAAUACCAUAAUCAGGAAUUAUCACCUUAAAGAUUGAUUACUUAACAUUGAUCAUGUGGCUGGGCAAGGUGGCUCAUGCCUGUAAUUCCGGUGCUUUUGGAAAGCUAAGGCAAGAGAAUGGCUUGAGGCUAGGAGUUCGAGACCAGCCUAGGCAACAUAGUGAGACUCUGUCUCUGUCAAAAAAUUAAAACAAAUUAGCUGGGAAUGGUGGUGUGUGCCUGUGUCUCAGCUGCUCAGGAGGCUGAGGCAGGAGGUUCGCUUGAGCCCAGGAGUUCAAGGCUACAGUGAUCUACGACCACAUGACUGCACUCCAGCCUGGGUGACAAAGUGAGAUACUGUAUCUAAAAAAUAAAUAAGUACAUAAAAAUAACUUAAAAAUAAAUAAAAGCAUGUUAUUUAAUGGGUGUAUAAUAUUCUACCUUAUGCAUCUAUCUUAACACUUCCAUUAUUGGAUAUUUGCAGUGUUUUUCAUUUCUGCAAUUAAAAACAAUAUUCUGGAGAAUAUCAAUAUCAAUUAAUAAUAAUAAUACUGUCGAAUAAUUGCUUUCAGUACCUUAAGCUAUGAAAUAAGCAAAAUAAGGAUUGUAGUAGCUAUGGCAUACCAAGUAAGUACUAUAAAACUCAGUUCUUUGGAUGCCAUCUAAAUGAGUUUACACAAAGUAGAGCUAGAAAGUCUGGGUCACUGAUUGACACCAUGGCAAGAAGGAUGUCUUCUUAUAUUUAAAUGUAAGGUUGAAUAGGUUGAAAAUGCCACUUUCAGCAAAGGUGGGAAGAUCGCUUGUGCCCAGGAGUUUGAGGUUAUAGUGAGCUAUGAUCUCGCCACUGCAUUCUAGCCUGGGUUGAGAGAGUAAGACCUUGUCUCUUAAAAAAAAACAAAAAAACGGCCGGGCACAGUGGCUCACGCCUG
rnacentral:lncRNA from 10 species